rnacentral:tRNA from 1 species
GGUUGUUGCUCAGUGGUAGAGGGCUUGCCUAGAAUGUGUGAGGCACUGGGUUCGAUUCUCAGGACUG